rnacentral:rRNA from 1 species
UACAGAGGUCUCAAGCGUUGUUCGGAUUCAUUGGGCGUAAAGGGUGUGUAGGUGGCGCGCCUAAGUCGGGUGUGAAAUUUCGGAGCUUAACUCCGAAACUGCAUUCGAUACUGGCGUGCUUGAGGACUGGAGAGGAGACUGGAAUUCAUGGUGUAGCAGUGAAAUGCGUAGAGAUCAUGAGGAAGACCAGUGGCGAAGGCGGGUCUCUGGACAGUUCCUGACACUGAGACACGAAGGCCAGGGGAGCAAACGGG